rnacentral:rRNA from 1 species
CCUAGGGGAGGCAGCAGUGAGGAAUAUUGGUCAAUGGUCGCAAGACUGAACCAGCCAAGUAGCGUGAGGGAAGACUGCCCUAUGGGUUGUAAACCUCUUUUAUCUGGGGAUAAAGUGAGCCACGUGUGGCUUAUUGCAGGUACCAGAAGAAUAAGGACCGGCUAAUUCCGUGCCAGCAGCCGCGGUAAU